rnacentral:rRNA from 1 species
CCUACGGGAGGCUGCAGUGAGGAAUAUUGGUCAAUGGGCGCAACUCUGAACCAGCCAAGUAGCGUGCAGGAUGACUGCCCUAUGGGUUGUAAACUGCUUUUAUGCGGGGAUAAAGUGAGGCACGUGUGCCUUAUUGUAUGUACUUUAUGAAUAAGGACCGGCUAAUUCCGUGCCAGCAGCCGCGGUAAUACGGAGGAUCCGAGCGUUAUCCGGAUUUAUUGGGUUUAAAGGGAGCGUAGGUGGGUUGUUAAGUCAGUUGUGAAAGUCUGCGGCUCAACCGUAGAAUUGCAAUUGGUACUGGCAGUCUUGAGUACAGUGGAGGUAGGCGGAAUUCGUGGUGUAGCGGUGAAAUGCUUAGAUAUCACGAAGAACUCCGAUUGCGAAGGCAGCUUACUAUACUGCCACUGACAUUGAUGCUCGAAGGUGUGGGUAUCAAACAGGAUUAGAUACCCUUGUAGUC